ACAGCGUGGGACGACGCGCCAUGGCAGCAUCCAAAGAGGGACAGCCGCGCUGAAGCGCGGCUGUUAUGGAUACACAGCCACGCGUGCGCCGUCGUCACGCGGACGGCUGUACGCCGUGCCAUGAAUGAGGGCGCGCCGUCGCCGUCGCAACGCAGCUGAGUGACGUCCUGGCAGAUAGAACAAACCAGGACCCUUCCAAGCCACACCAUCCUGUGGUUCUAUCAUCUUCCAGGACUCUUGCAACACAAACCAUUCUAUGGUUCUGUGAUCACUAAGGAACCUCCCAAGCCACGCCGUCCUGCAGUUCUAUGAUCUUCCAGGACCCUCCUGUGCGGGUGAUGUCACAAUGAUGUGAUGACCUCACAGAGGCCCUGGGGUGGGGCAGGGGCAGUGGGUCAGCGCUGAACCUGCCUGCCUCAUUUUGCGGUUGGUUCUGGUCCAGCGAGGAGCUGUGCGAGUGGUGCAGCAAUGCGGGCCCAGUUUGCCAGCGGGACAUUAACAGAUCUGCAGCGUGUGAAUCUGCUGGAGGAGCUGCUGCAGGCUCAUGAGCGCGCCGUGGAGAAGCGCAAGGCUGAGGCCAGGGAAUCCUUGAUGAAGGAUGCCCAGCAAAUACGGGCAGAAAGAACAGCUG